AACCCAACCAACAAGAGACUUAGAGACAUUAUAUUCUCUACAAACACAAUGAUCGAAAAAUUAGGGAUUGGGAACGAAGCACAUAUCUUCGACGCAAACUAACACCAUGAGGAAAGAAUUUUUUUUUGAGAGAGAUAGGUGAGGCAGACGAAGAGCAAACAUAGAAGCUGUUAGCUUCUCACAACUGGAAGCCAAUUAAAGUGACUGUAGAUUUGAGAAAUCCACAAGGUCAUUCUUGAGUUACCUUCUGUGUAGAAGAACGAAGGUAGUGGAAGAAAUCGAACGAAGUGCUCGAGGUGACGCGUUUGGUAUUUCGAUACGAGUAUUAGACAUCAGUUGACGCAAGCAGGAUCUCGUUAGUUAGAGCGCACAAUUUGAUAGUUCUUGGUGAGCCCCACAUUUAUUCACGUGGGCAAAUUUUUUAUUUAUUUGUUACAGGCAUUUUCUGUAAAACUCUUAGAGUCGCUCCGUUGGUCAUUUUCAUUAGUAUCGUGAGUAUUGGUUCAUUAUUUAGACAUGUGACUAGUAUUAUACUUUCUUAUCAUAUUUUAGAGAUGGAUUUAAUAUUAUUGUGCUGCAAAUAGUUGAUUAAUAGUGGUGGAGAAUUGUUUGUGGUUA